UGGGGAAUCUUGGACAAUGGGCGCAAGCCUGAUCCAGCCAUGCCGCGUGAGUGAAGAAGGCCUUAGGGUCGUAAAGCUCUUUCACCGGUGAAGAUAAUGACGGUAGCCGGAGAAGAAGCCCCGGCUAACUCCGUGCCAGCAGCCGCGGUAAUACGGAGGGGGCUAGCGUUGUUCGGAAUUACUGGGCGUAAAGCGCGCGUAGGCGGGCUGUUAAGUCGGGGGUGAAAUCCCGGGGCUCAACCCCGGAACUGCCUUCGAUACUGGCAGCCUAGAGGUCUGGAGAGGCGAGUGGAAUUCCGAGUGUAGAGGUGAAAUUCGUAGAUAUUCGGAGGAACACCAGUGGCGAAGGCGGCUCGCUGGCCAGAUACUGACGCUGAGGUGCGAAAGCGUGGGGAGCAAACAGGAUUAGAUACCCCCGUAGUCC
rnacentral:rRNA from 1 species